GUGGGGAAUAUUGCGCAAUGGGCGAAAGCCUGACGCAGCCAUACCGCGUGUGUGAAGAAGGCCUUCGGGUUGUAAAGCACUUUCAGUGGGGAGGAAAAGCGGGUGGCUAAUAUCCAUCGGCCGUGACGCUACCCACAGAAGAAGCACCGGCUAAUUCCGUGCCAGCAGCCGCGGUAAUACGGAAGGUGCGAGCGUUAAUCGGAAUUACUGGGCGUAAAGCGCACGUAGGUGGCUUGGUAAGUCGGAUGUGAAAGCCCCGGGCUCAACCUGGGAACGGCAUUCGAUACUGCUGAGCUAGAGUACGAAAGAGGGGGGUGGAAUUCCAGGUGUAGCGGUGAAAUGCGUAGAGAUCUGGAGGAACACCGGUGGCGAAGGCGGCCCCCUGGUUCGAUACUGACGCUGAGGUGCGAAAGCGUGGGGAGCAAACAGGAUUAGAAACCCUGGUAGUCC
rnacentral:rRNA from 1 species